UUUUGCGCCUUCAUUAAUCCAACGGUGAAAAGUCCAACUAUAUUCCCUUUCCUAUGAAUUCUCUUCGUCCGAUCAUAUCUUUCAAUGCAGACCGUUGGACAAAGUUGGAACGUAAAUCCGACCAUUGAAUAUACACGAAAUUGAAUUUCAAAAUGGCUUGAGAGAGAGGGAGGAGAGACGAAGAAGAAGAAAACCAAGCGGAGCCACCUCCCACUCCUCCUCACCACCUCCUUUACGCCAUAGUCUCCCUCUUCCCUUUCUUUCUAAUAAAAUUGCUUCUCUGCACUUUGUCUCUCAGUUCAGAGAUCAAAGUGCUCUGAGAAAAGGGGUGAUUUUGUUUUUUUGGUAAAUGACUCUUGGCUUAACUUCGGUGUGCAGUUUUUAGCUGAUUAGUCUUGCUUUUUCCCUGUGUAUUUGCGUGUUCUGGGGAUUUUAUGCUGAGGUUUUGGAUCUGAAAGGUGGAGAAUUUCAGUAGAUUUUUCAAAUUUGUGGGAUUAUUGAAGGUUGGGAAUUCUGUGGAUUAAGUUUGCUUGUGAUAUUUUUAAUAAAGGAAUUGAAAAUUUGGUGGUGGUUUUAGAAAUUUGGGAAUUUGAAUUUGAUGGGUGAAGGUGAGGGAAGCGAAUUCCCUCCAAAAAAGGCGGCGCAAUUGGAUACGCAGGGGAGCUCGGAUUUUCCUGCGAAGAAGCUAGCGAGGCAGCUGGAUUUCACACAGGGAAAUGCGACACUCUCGGACCAUCAUCAUUCGGAGCAGCAGCAGCCUGCAACGCUGCCACUGCCGCAGAGCCAACUGCAGCAGCAGCAGCCGCAGCCGCAGGCGGUAACGAUUUCGGCAGCGCCGCCGCCACAACAGCAUCUGCCAGCCAGGAUUUUAAAGCCAGAGUCCCCAAAAUCAAAACCAAGGCCAAAUGCUGAAUUAAAAGACGGUACUCCAAAGAGGCAAAAACAGUGUAACUGCAAACACUCACGGUGCUUGAAGCUGUACUGUGAAUGCUUUGCAUCUGGAACAUAUUGUGAUGGGUGCAAUUGUGUAAAUUGUUAUAAUAAUGUUGAAAAUGAGGCUGCUAGGCGAGAAGCUGUUGAAGCCACUUUAGAGCGGAAUCCAAAUGCAUUCAGGCCCAAGAUUGCUAGCAGUCCGCAUGGAACACAAGACAGUCGGGAGGAGAAUGGGGAAGGAUUAGUGUUGGGAAAGCACAACAAAGGAUGUCACUGCAAGAAAUCUGGAUGUCUUAAAAAGUACUGUGAAUGUUUCCAAGCUAACAUUCUUUGUUCUGAAAAUUGCAAAUGUAUGGACUGUAAAAAUUUUGAAGGAAGUGAAGAGACGCAGGCUCUCUUUCAUGGAGACCAUGCCAACAAUAUAGCAUACAUGCAACAGGCUACUAAUGCUGCAUUAACCGGGGCUAUUGGAUCUUCUGGUUAUGCAUCUCCUCCAGUAUCUAAAAAGCGAAAAGUUCAGGAACUUUUCUUUGGGCCAACAGCCAAGGAUCCAUCCUUUCACAGGCUUGGACAUUUGCAACAGGUAGUCCAUAUCAGGCCUUCUGCAACUUCAUCUUCCUUGUCCACCAAUCCAGUUGCUCGUGCUGCUAGCACUGCGACUUUGGGCCCUUCAAAAUUCACAUACAGGUCACUCUUGGCAGACAUUAUACAACCACAGGAUUUAAAAGAACUUUGCUCUGUUUUGGUGGUUGUGUCAGGUGAAGCCGCAAAAACACUCUCUGACCAAAGGAAUGCAACAGAACAGCAGGUUCAGAAUCAGACGGAAACUUCACUUGCCUCCUCAACUCAAGAAAGGUUGCAGAGCCAGAAGGAGACUGACGUUGAGAAAAUUAUUGCAGAUGAUUGUUCCAGUGCAAACCAGGCUGAUAAAGUUGGCCCUUAUGAUUCCAGCUCAGAUGGUGCUGACGUGCCAAAAGGAAGGCCAAUGUCUCCUGGAACUUUGGCAUUGAUGUGUGACGAACAAGAUACAAUUUUUAUGGCAGCUGCUUCUCCCAAUCGGUUAACGGGCCAUGUAUGCAGCGGUACCUCACAAUUGCCUUGUGGACAAGGCAUGACGGAGAUUUAUGCAGAGCAGGAGAGGAUUGUUUUAACAAAGUUUCGUGAUUGUCUUAAUAGGCUUAUAACCUUUGGAGAAAUAAAAGAAACCAAAUGUUCAUCAUUAGCAAAGACUGAACUGGGGAAUCAAAAAGAUCAAUUAAGCAAUGGUACUCUGAAUGCUUGGGCUGAAUUGGAAAAUCAACAGGGAUCUCAUAGCAAUGGUGUUUCCAAACAUGUUAUUCCACCGCCAUCCAAUACGGCUCAGACGGCUGCUACUAUGGUUGCCGCCUCCAGCAAUGAAAUUCCACAAGUUCAAGCCCCCCCACAAAAUGAGGAUAACAAACCAAUGACUUGAAAAAGAUUGUAGAAAGCUUUUAUCUCUAAAAGCUGUCCCAAGCCCCAAGGUAUGCUUCUGAAUUUGGUCAUUCUAGAUCAAUGAUCAUUGUGGCUUUGUCCUUGCUGCAAUCUUGAGGUGGCAUUGGGGCCCAUUGUUGGAACUAACCAGGAUCUGAUUUAUUCCUCAUGUCAACAAUAUAUUUACAUAUCAGUCAUUCUGCUUCAGCCACAUAUCAAGUCAAAGUGGUGUAUUGCAGAGCCUUACAAUUGCACAGUAUGUCAUUUAUGUUAUAACAUGGCAAUGACCAUCAUAAAUUGUAUCUUCAGAUACUAGGAAUUUUUCUUGCUCUCUUCAUGGUAUUAAAAACAAAGAGCAAUUUUAUGAUUUUCGUCGGAUAUGAAACCAAGAGUUGAUCCAUGAGUAACCAGCCAAGGAUUUUUAAGUCUAUUGUGCUCCUCAUAUCACAUCUCCAGAAAACUUCGGCAGCAGACCUGAUGCCACGCUGAGUUGAUUGGGACCUUUCAGUUGCUAUGUUUCAGCUACUGUUGAUACUGUAGAGAAGAGUGGAAAGAAGAGAAGGAAAUGACAAAGCUGAAAUUUCACGAAAUAAUCAUGGCUUUAUUUUUCUCUUUUUAACAGAAAAGGUAAAUCUCAUUCAAGACAAGCUUCAAUACAGCGUUUCCUUUUCUAUGCAGGAUUUCAACUGGGGAGGGGCUUUUGUCUAAAGUUAGAAGCAAUCCAAUGAGUUCAACUGUUAACUUCUCUAGGAAUAAAAUUGACAGUCCAGCGACGAAAACACUGUUUUUAUUUAUUUAUUU